UACAGAGGGUGCAAGCGUUAAUCGGAAUUACUGGGCGUAAAGCGUGCGUAGACAGUUAUUUAAGUCAGGUGUGAAAGCCCCGGGCUCAACCUGGGAAUUGCAUUUGAGACUGAAUAGCUAGGGUGUGGCAGAGGGAGGUGGAAUUCCACGUGUAGCAGUGAAAUGCGUAGAGAUGUGGAGGAACACCGAUGGCGAAGGCAGCCUCCUGGGCCAGCACUGACGCUCAUGCACGAAAGCGUGGGGAGCAAACAGG
rnacentral:rRNA from 1 species